rnacentral:lncRNA from 1 species
GAGUGCAGGAAAUUCGCGUGCCGGUGAGAAUGACUGGUAAGAAAAAAACCUCCUCUUGCGAUGCCAAUUCAGCUUGCUUUAUAGAAUUGAUCAACAUGGGUAGUUUAGGAUUUUAUGAUUGAAGUUUCUUAUGAAAGUUCGGAUUUGCAAGGAAUUCUGGUUGCGUUUUCUUGUAACGUCUUGCACCCUUUCCGCGCAGGCUUGUAUUCAACAUUGAGAUCUUUUCAAAUUGCAUUGUUUUUUUGUUUUAUUUGCACCCUUGCUUU